rnacentral:rRNA from 1 species
GACGAACGCUGGCGGCGUGCCUAAUACAUGCAAGUAGGACGCAGUUGCGAACGGGUGAGUAACGCGUAGGUAACUACCUAUUAGAGGGGGAUAACUAUUGGAAACGAUAGCUAAUACCGCAUACUAGUAGAUGGACCUGCGUUGUAUUAGCUAGUGGGUAGGGUAAUGGCCUACCUAGGCAACGAUACAUAGCCGGCCCGGAAGGGGGAUUGGCCACAAUGGGACUGGGGAACGGCCCAGAAUCCCACGGGAGGCAGCAGUAGGGAAACUUCGGGAAUGGGGGGAAAGCUUACCGAGCAACGCCGCGGGAGUGAAGAAGGUUUUCGGAUCGGAAAGCUCUGUUGUUAAGGAAGCGGUACUUAACCAGAAAGGGACGGCUAACUACGUGCCAGCAGCCGCGGUAAUUC